rnacentral:tRNA from 1 species
GUUUAGAUAGCUCAGGGGUAGAGCAAAGGACUGAAAAUCCUUGGGUCAGUGGUUCGAACCCACUUCUAAGCA